CCUACGGGAGGCAGCAGUGGGGAAUAUUGGGCAAUGGGCGCAAGCCUGACCCAGCAACGCCGCGUGAAGGAAGAAGGCCUUCGGGUUGUAAACUUCUUUUGUCAGGGACGAAGCUAGUGACGGUACCUGACGAAUAAGCUACGGCUAACUACGUGCCAGCCGCCGCGGUAAUACGUAGGUGGCAAGCGUUAUCCGGAUUUACUGGGUGCAAAGGGCGUGUAGGCGGGGAAGCAAGUCAGAUGAGAAAUUCCAGGGCUCAACCCUGGAACUGCAUUUGAUACUGGUUUUCUUGAGUGAUGGAGAGGCAAGCGGAAUUCCGUGUGUAGCGGUGAAAUGCGUAGAUAUACGGAGGAACACCAGUGGCGAAGGCGGCCUACUGGACAUUAACUGACGCUGAGGCGCGAAAGCGUGGGGAGCAAACAGGAUUAGAUACCCUAGUAGUC
rnacentral:rRNA from 1 species